CAGCUGCCUGCAAGCCCUGGUGCCUGCUCUUGGCUGCUCCCUGAGAGCAGCGGGCAGGGAGGAGGAAAGGGCAGGAAGGGGAAUUUUGGGAGCAGUGGGAUGUGUUUGUGCCAGUCUUUGCCUUGACAGCGAGAGAAGAAAGAUGCUUCCUUGAAGGAUUUUCCCCUCAGCCUUUAUGGAGUGAAACAGCAGGAGCCCAUGUGUAUUGCAACAAAACAUCCUUCUGCACACAAGGCCGAGCCAACACGACACAAUCCUGUCCCUGAAUUGGUUUCCUUCUCAGUGCAGCAAAGGGAAAAGAAAAGAAAGAGAAGUGCUUCCAUGCUGUGCACUUAUUAAAGUCACAUUCAAAGCUCUUCAAAGAAACUUUGACAUUAGAAGGCAGAUAUCAAUGCCUCUCUUGGAUAAUGCUUUAGCAGGAAGCACAGCUGACUUCCAUGUCAGAAGGUGUUAGUAAAAAUGGAUGCAGAAAAACAACCUCACAUACUCAAUAUAAAUAUUUCCUAAAAGCACCAGCUUCUUUUCCUAGAGGACUACAAAUACAAUUUCACAGCUGGUCCAUCACUGAAAGUACAAGUAAGAUGCUAUUUAAGUAUUGCUGGUGCUGUAUAGUCAGUAAAUCAAGGGCUCAGAUCAUCAAUCUCUGUUUCUGUUUUGUAGUCAGGUUUUCUGUGUCAGAUGCUACCAGGCCAAACCAGGUGUGAAUGCAAAAGGACAAAUGUAUUUGUGGAAAUGACUAAUGCUGGAAAACACCAGUGAUGAGAUAUUGAAUAGUUCUCCUCUAAUGUGCUGAAUUCAGACCAAGGCAGCAACAAUCACAAGUCCUUGAAAGGAAAUAAAAAGUAGCAGUUAGUAUGUUAGAGUAGCUUAAUGUGUUUAUAUUAUAAGAACUGUCCCAUUAAUAAAUAAAAUAAGGUACAAUAGCCCUAGAAUACUGGAGUUACAAGUUUAGAAACAAAUCUUA